AAAUCUGGAGCUGCUUUUCCUCCUCCCUCAUCCAUUCACCUGGACUGGAAGCCAUCUCACAGUGAUCAGUGUCUGAUAUCUCUGGGUGGCGCCCGCCGCGCUGAUUUGGCAGCUGAUCAGCUGGGACCAACCUCAUCCUCUUGGCUCGGACUGAACUCUUAGACCAGAGGUCCCUACCUUAGACUCCAACGCUGUUCACUGCAGUUCUGUUUUUAACAAAUUUUUUGAGAAAUCUAAGUGUCUGUCUGCCUCAAAUACUGGGUCCUCUCAUUCAGAGCCUGACAGAAGCUGUACAUCAUGGGGAA